GCACAAGCGGUGGAGCAUGUGGUUUAAUUCGACGCAACGCGAAGAACCUUACCAGGGCUUGACAUCCCCUGACCGCGUAUGAAAGUACGUUUUCACCCUCGGGUGACAGGGAGACAGGUGGUGCAUGGUUGUCGUCAGCUCGUGUCGUGAGAUGUUGGGUUAAGUCCCGCAACGAGCGCAACCCCUACGUUUAGUUGCUAACGCGUGAAGGCGAGCACUCUAGACGAACUGCCGUUGACAAAACGGAGGAAGGUGGGGAUGGCGUCAAGUCAGCAUGGCCUUUAUACCCUGGGCGACACACACGCUACAAUGGGUGGUACAGUAGGUAGCGAAGGAGCGAUCCGGAGCAAAUCUUUAAAACCAUCCUCAGUACGGAUUGCAGGCUGAAACCCGCCUGCAUGAAGCCGGAGUUGCUAGUAACCGCAUAUCAGAAUGGUGCGGUGAAUACGUUCUCGGGCCUU
rnacentral:rRNA from 1 species